ACACUUACUUGUAGAGAUUCUU
rnacentral:miRNA from 14 species